rnacentral:tRNA from 1 species
CGGGAUGUAGCGCAGCCUGGUAGCGCACCUGCUUGGGGUGCAGGUGGUCGGCGGUUCAAAUCCGCCCAUCCCGACCA